rnacentral:rRNA from 1 species
UACGUAGGGGGCAAGCGUUGUCCGGAUUACUGGGCGUAAAGAGCGCGCAGGCGGUCGGAUAAGUCGAGUGUGAAAGCCCCUGGCUCAACCAGGGAGGGUCAUUCGAUACUGUUCGACUCGAAGGCAGGAGAGGGAAGUGGAAUUCCGGGUGUGAGUGGUGGAAAUGCGUAGAUAUCCGGAGGAACACCAGUGGCGAAGGCGACUUUCUGGCCUGUUCUUGACGCUGAGGCGCGAAAGCUAGGGGAGCAACGGG